rnacentral:rRNA from 1 species
CAACCAGCACCUCAAGUGGUCAGGAUGAUUAUUGGGCCUAAAGCAUCCGUAGCCUGCUCUGUAAGUUUUCGGUUAAAUCUGUACGCUCAACGUACAGGCUGUCGGGAAUACUGCAGAGCUAGGGAGUGGGAGAGGUAGACGGUACUCGGGAGGAAGUGGUAAAAUGCUUUGAUCUCUCGAUGACCACCUGUGGCGAAGGCGGUCUACCAGAACACGUCCGACGGUGAGGGAUGAAAGCUGGGGGAGCAAACAGGAUUAGAUACCCCAGUAGUCC